UAAGUGAUCUGAACGUUUCAUGAUGAUAGCACUUUCCUAAGGGGGUCAAACCAUGUCCCAAAGGUCACCGGAUCUGGUGUCAAUUUAAAGGAGACAUAACAUGAAAAACCCACUUUUUUAUCCAUUAACACGGUGUGUUUCACAUUUUAAGUGUCUAAGUGAGCAAAAAGGCUUAUAUUAUUCACUGGAGUUGCUAUUUAGAUAUUUAAUAAUUAAGUUUUGGGCAUAUUUGUCCACCCGUUCAGUUUUUACAUUAUCUAUUACAUCAGUAAUUAAUUUAGUGAGGAUAACUACCAAAUAUGGUAAUGGCCCUCGGCUAAACACAGAGCCAAUCCGCCAUUUUUUCUUCUCGCUAAGAUUUUUUGUAGUCCUAUUGGAAAAAUGCAGAAUGUCUGGUUAUUUUAGCCACACACAGCUCAAAACUGUUCCUCGUUUUAAGGAAGGGUGGUGUGGCAGUAUUUAAACCCAGGAGCUGAUGACACUACUGCUAAAAAACACAGAAGAAAAAGUAGUGUGUUUGCGUUUGUUUGUGUGUGUGUGUGUGUGCGUGCGCGCGCGCGCGCGUGGUUCGUUCGUUCUGUCUCCAGGCUAGUGGCUAAGUACUGAGGGCUUCAUCUAUCUAAAAGGAGUUAUUUCCAUCUGAAUUUGGCAGCACCGGGACACAGCAGCAGAGCGAGUCCACAUCCAGAAGACUGGAGCCGUGUUUCACUGACAGGCUGUCAGACUAACGCCCUGAUGAGCUCAGCUGGGACAAACUGGUCUGAUGUUUAGGAACACAGAACGUUCAGAUGUUGGCGUUUCACGUCACCUACUGAGGAAGGAGACCCACCAGUAAAGAGACGGUCUGGACCAGACCAAAAAUAUGGCGAUGACAUCAUGGAACUGGUCUUUGGAAAAGUUUUCCCUGAACCAACUCCGUUUCUAGAUGAGGUAGAGAAGAUCUGCAUCUCACCAACUCUCUGGUCUCAGUAUUCAGACAACGGAGGUCUCCCACUGUUGUCCAGGACCAGUUUGAAGCCCACAUACUGCCCCUCCCUCAUCAUCAGGAAACAUCAAUCCGUAUCCUGAGGACAACAGAAGACGGCAGGAGGACAGGAACUCUGAGACCUAGACACCACCAGCACCGAGACACAAAGCACCUGUGUGCACAACGCCUGUUUUAACUACUAAAGCCUGUUUAUUAUAUUGUUCUACUUAUUUGCUGUGAGGUUAAUACUUAGAAAAUUUGUAUAUUAAUGUAAACAAUAAAAAAAAUCACUGAUUGUA